AAUUUCCAUUAAAAAAAAAUUAAUUACAAGAAGAUAGAGGUAUGUUGAAUCUUAAGAUUCUUAGGGCCAUAGCAGUGCACUUUCAAGGAUGGAGGACUUGAUAAUGCUGAUGUUUUAUACCUAAUUUCAUUCAAAAGUGAUGUCUUUCCUUUAUGGAGAUUUAUUGCUGAUUUUGUCUUAACAGAUAGCGUCAGUGUCAUUUAAGAAAAAGAAAAAAGUUUUCCUGAAGAAGUAGCAAGGACUGAAAAGAGGAGAGAAAAGAAUGAGAAAGGGCAAGGGAAGGGAAGUGAGUGUGUCUGAGAGAGAGAACACUGAAAAUUGCCGAUAGGAUUAACUGACGUAUCAGAUGUGGAGAAGCUUAUUAUCUUCCGGAGAGACCGAUGAGAAGGUGUUAGGAAAGAGAUUAGGAGUUAGACAGCACUCUACAUUCCAUGAAGACAUUUUGGGGGCAAGGCAACCUUUUUGCUGUUUGGAGCAUCUUUUAGGUGUGUGGAAUAAAAGGAAGAAAGCGUGUAACAAGUUAAUUAUAUCAUCAGGGAAUGUGUAAAUCAGAUGUUCACACUUUUAAAAAGAGCACUGACUGCUUUCAUGCCACUUAAGGGACUCUUCUGUAAUGGCCUGAACAUACUAAUGCAUUGGGCAUUUUUAACAGUUUCUUGUUUUAUUCUCUUCUUUGUGUCUCCCUGUUAGAAUCUCUAAAAAUGAGGUGACAGUAUUUCAGUGUGCCAUGUUUAAAUGUAUUUAUUAAUUGCCAUGGAUACUUUGAAAAUACAAUGCUAACAAAUAUUAACAAGAUUGACUGUAGAGACUAGUCCAAGUUUUCGUCAGUUUGUAACCUUUAGUUUCUUUUUCUU